rnacentral:lncRNA from 1 species
GGGCGGACGCAUAUGGGUCCUCUGCAAAAGAAUUCCCCAAGCAUCUGAAAAUGAGUAUGACCCAUGAGAUGGACUGUAACGGUGAAGCUCCGGAGUUGGCCGUCGAGAUAAGUGAAAAUCUCUUGUAAUAGGUGGCUUUCAAAUUUACCACAGGACGUGCGCAGAAAUCUCUUGUAAUUGGUGGCUUUCAAAUCUCUUGUAAAAGGUGGCUGAACAGAACCGUCGACGAGAUUUUCACUAUCAAUCUUACUCUCCGCGCCCCUCCAAGCCAAUAAAUAAGCCGUCCGCCCGACACCCGGCUACAGUUUCCUAGCAUCGAGAGCGUACGCUUAACGUAAAUCUCCGAUCUUGUUAACCUUUAUCCAUAACAUUUGACCGCUUAAUGGAUCACAUUGAAACUAAGUUCGUUUACAUCAUGUGACUACCAAAGAAGGGCAUCACAUGGAGUCAUCUUUUUUUACUAUUCCAAUGCCCCCCUUGUAGUUUCAUGCCGUCUUUUUUUUUGGGGGGGGGGGGUUGGGGGGGAUAUGUGUUCUCCACUGUUGUGCAGGAGGUGAGUGAAAGUACCCACAGCGAAAGUAUAACCGCCAAUCGCCUUCUACCUCAAGUGUAAACGUGCCAAAAAAAUCGAUAGAGAAAUACAUGCAAAUAUGGCAAGACAGAAAAAUCAGCAUAAGAGCAGGGAAUAAGAUGUACGUACCGGAGUCGACGUGAUUCAGAGAAAUUUUCUGCAUCAGCAUGGAGAGCUAAAGAGAUGUUACGAAAAGCACGAGAAGAACCGAAACCAAAGCCCUAUUCCUACUGGAUGGUUGGAUAUUUUUCCGUAACACCAUGUCGAAAUUGUUCUAUCGUUGAUCAGAGAUUUCUAUAUGAAAAAUACGAAUCGGAGUUUGAAGAAGGGGAGCUCCGUCUCAAGGUCAUUAUCAAUAUCUAAAUGCGCACAAAUAAGAUGUGAUCUUAGACACCGCUUGCCCAUCAAUGGGCCGAAUGUGGGACAGAGAGAGAGAGAGAGAGAGAGAGAGAGAGAGAGAGAGA